GGAGAUAGAGCUCAGUGGAGGAGCACGUGCUUGGUGUGCAUGAGGUCUUGGGUUUAAUCCCCAGUACCUCUG
rnacentral:tRNA from 1 species